AGGAACUUAGGAUAUAUUAAACCAAUAGCCUUCAAAGCCAUAAAAAAGACUCAACCUCUUAGUUCCU
rnacentral:tRNA from 1 species